rnacentral:rRNA from 1 species
GGCCCAGGUGAGACGCCCGGUCCCAUUCCGAACCCGGAAGCUAAGGCCUGGCACGGCGAUGGUACUGCACCCGACAGGGUGUGGGAGAGUAGCACGCCGCCGCAC